GACGGAGGAUGCAAGCGUUAUCCGGAAUGAUUGGGCGUAAAGCGUCUGCAGGUGGCAGUUCAAGUCUGCUGUCAAAGACCGGGGCUUAACUUCGGAAAGGCAGUGGAAACUGAACAGCUAGAGUAUGGUAGGGGCAGAGGGAAUUCCUGGUGUAGCGGUGAAAUGCGUAGAGAUCAGGAAGAACAUCGGUGGCGAAGGCGCCCUGCUGGACCAUAACUGACACUCAGGGACGAAAGCUAGGGGAGCGAAUGGG
rnacentral:rRNA from 1 species